UACGAAGGGGGCUAGCGUUGUUCGGAAUUACUGGGCGUAAAGCGCGCGCAGGCGGUUCUCCAAGUCAGUGGUGAAAGCCCGGAGCUCAACUCCGGAAUUGCCAUUGAAACUGUAGAACUUGAGGACGAGAGAGGUGAGUGGAAUUCCCAGUGUAGAGGUGAAAUUCGUAGAUAUUGGGAAGAACACCGGUGGCGAAGGCGGCUCACUGGCUCGUUUCUGACGCUCAGGCGCGACAGCGUGGGGAUCAAAC
rnacentral:rRNA from 1 species